AGAGUUUGAUCAUGGCUCAGGAUGAACGCUAGCGGCAGGCCUAAUACAUGCAAGUCGAACGGUGUCUAGCAAUAGGCAUAGUGGCGCACGGGUGCGUAACACGUAACUAACCUACCUACAACUGGGGGAUAGCCCGCCGAAAGGCGGAUUAAUACCGCAUAAGCUACUUGGGUGGCAUCACCUGGAUAGUAAAGAUUUAUUGGUUGUAGAUGGGGUUGCGGGUCAUUAGCUAGUUGGUUGGGUAACGGCUGACCAAGGCGACGAUGACUAGGGGAGCUGAGAGGCUGGUCCCCCACACGGGCACUGAGAUACGGGCCCGACUCCUACGGGAGGCAGCAGUAGGGAAUAUUGGGCAAUGGGCGAGAGCCUGACCCAGCCAUGCCGCGUGCAGGAAGAAGGCUUUCUGAGUCGUAAACUGCUUUUGACAGGGAAGAAUAAGGUGUACGUGUACACCGAUGACGGUACCUGCAGAAUAAGCACCGGCUAACUCCGUGCCAGCAGCCGCGGUAAUACGGAGGGUGCGAGCGUUGUCCGGAUUUAUUGGGUUUAAAGGGUGCGUAGGCGGCCCGUUAAGUCCGGGGUGAAAGCCCGUUGCUCAACAACGGAACUGCCCUGGAUACUGACAGGCUUGAGUACAGACGAGGUUGGCGGAAUGGACCGAGUAGCGGUGAAAUGCAUAGAUACGGUCCAGAACCCCGAUUGCGAAGGCAGCUGACUAGGCUGUUACUGACGCUGAGGCACGACAGCGUGGGGAGCGAACAGGAUUAGAUACCCUAGUAGUCC
rnacentral:rRNA from 1 species